CCUGAAAUGCAUCAGCAAGUUCAUGACUGGACUCCUGUCUUGGUGUGAUAACUAUCUACAUCAUAGAUUGGGUUUCAGACUUGCUUCUAAUUCAUUUGUCUGCAAGGACAAUUCACUUGACGAACUUGACCUCAAAUCAGGUAGGACUACCCGCUGAACUUAAGCAUAUCAAUAAGCGGAGGAAAAGAAACUAACAAGGAUUCCCCUAGUAACUGCGAGUGAAGCGGGAAAAGCUCAAAUUUAAAAUCUGGCGGUCUUUGGCUGUCCGAGUUGUAAUCUAGAGAAGCGUUACCCGCGCUGGACCGUGUAUAAGUCUCCUGGAAUGGAGCGUCAUAGAGGGUGAGAAUCCCGUCUUUGACACGGACUACCAGGGCUUUGUGGUGCGCUCUCAAAGAGUCGAGUUGUUUGGGAAUGCAGCUCAAAAUGGGUGGUAAAUUCCAUCUAAAGCUAAAUAUUGGCGAGAGACCGAUAGCGAACAAGUACCGUGAGGGAAAGAUGAAAAGAACUUUGGAAAGAGAGUUAAACAGUACGUGAAAUUGCUGAAAGGGAAACGCUUGAAGUCAGUCAUGUUGGCCAGAAAUCAACCUUGCUUUUUUGCUGGGCGUACUUUCUGGUUGACGGGCCAGCAUCAGUUUUGACUGGUGGAAAAAGGCCAAGGGAAUGUGGCACCUUUGGGUGUGUUAUAGCCCUUGGUUGUAUACAUCAGUUGGGACUGAGGAACUCAGCAUGCCAUAAGGCCGGGU
rnacentral:rRNA from 1 species